rnacentral:lncRNA from 1 species
AAAUGGAGAUAGGUUUGGGAAGGUUCUGGAAGGUUGGGAAGGUUCGGGAAGGUUGGGAAGGUUCGGGAAGGUUGGGAAGGUUUGGGAAGGUUCUGGAAGGUUCCAGAAGGUUUGGGAAGGUUGGGAAGGUUCCAGAAGGUUCCAGAAAGUUCAGGAAGGUUUGGGAAGGUUCAGGAAGGUUCAGGAAGGUUUGGAAGGUUCAGGAAGGUUGGCAAGGUUGAGAAGGUUCAGGAAGGUUCCAGAAGGUUCGGGAACAUUCAGGAAGGUUCCGGAAGGUUCAGGAAGGUUCCGGAACGUUCGGGAAGGCUCGGGAAGGUUCAGGAAGGUUCUGGAAGGUUCAGGAAGG